UUUGUUGAAAACAAGAUAAAAUAUAAAUUGAUAAUAUGAUAACUCCAAAUAUUCUUAUCACUUGUGAUUUUAUUGAAGUUAGUUUAGUCUACACUUGGCCACUAAAAAGCGAGUCAGUGUUUGUUUACUCGACUAAAAUGUUUACUAAAUCUAAUAUUAAUCUAGUGUCCACAUGAUUAAAGUUAAUACAAUUUAAUGGUUUGCUUAAGUUAACCGUGUACUGACUUGGCUGAGUGUAAACACUCCUUAUGAUUAAAGUAGAGUAUAAGUAUCAUUGUUAUUGCACUAUAAAUCGUAUAUAUUAUAUAAUAUAAAUAAUAUAAUAAUAUUUGAUAUACUAUAUAAUGUAAACAAUCUCGUUGCAAUAAUAAGCGGAUACGGGAGCAUAACCUCACAUAAGCUCGCGUCAUAUCACGUCACAUCUGAGAGACCAUUGAUUAUACACUACAUGUAUAUAUUGAUAACUAUUGACCCCCACUCACGUGAUAUUGUAUUAUUUCAUUGUGUCUCACGUGAUAUCACAUUUUAUUCCAAUUUAGAAUUUUUACUUUGUGAAAAUUGAAACUUAUGUAAAAUCAGUUUAGUUUUUAAUAAAUAUGGAAGAAAAAUUAAUAGAACUAGUGAGACUUCACGAAGUUUUAUUCAAUUAUGAAAUGGCCAGCUAUAGAGACAAAUGUGUCCGACAGAAAGCAUGGGAAGAAAUCGGCAAGGAAUUACAUAUACAAGGAGAAAAAGCAAAAGAUCUAUGGGAUAAAUUGAGACGAUGUUUUUGUAACGCAAUAAAUAGACGUCGUGAUAAGAAAAAUGGACAGGCAGCUAAAAAAAUGAUUCCAUGGAAAUUUGAAAAUCAAAUGUCUUUUCUUUUACCAUACUUCGAAAACAGAAAGGCUAUAAGUAAUUUGAAUAAUGCAAUCGUAAAUGAAAAACACGAUAGAAAUGUAAAUAUCGAUUUAAAUGAUAAAACGCAUUACAUAAAUGAAGAUAGUUAUCAAAGUACAAAUAAUGAAACUGAAAUAAUCUUAAUAGAAAAAGAAAGUGUAGAUGGAAUAGAAAAUCUGGCUCAGGAUAUACAAAACUACAAUACAUCUGGGACAGGCAAAAUAAAACAUUUUGAAAUAGCUGAAGCACCGGUAAAUAACCUUAAAAGAAACAAAAUAAUUAACAGUAAUAAUAAUUCGACACUUCAAAUGUUGAAGAUAAUAAAAGAAAAUACAGCUUUAAGAGAAAUGAAACAUGAAGAAAAGAUCAUUAGACCAAAAGUUCCUACUAUAUUUGAAAACAUGGACGAAACUGAUAUAUUUUUUUUAAGUAUGUCUAAAAUGACAAAACUAUUACCAAAAGAAGAACAGGCUAACAUUAAAUUAUUAUUAAGUAAUUGUGUCCUACAAGCAGAAGUUAGAAAUACGAGUAUUCAAGCAGUUUCUCAGCCUAUUACUUCUCCUAUUCCAUCUGAAGUAGCUACAUCAUCUCAUUAUUUAACAAUAUAACUUGAAGAAUUUUAAUUUCACUACAAAUUCACACUCGGGGAAAUGUUAAAUAUGUCUAUUCUACCAUUUUUAUUGGAUGAACUAUCAAGACCAACUAUUUAUGACCAACAUUUUGGUCUCAAUUUAUUAGA
rnacentral:misc_RNA from 1 species